UACGUAGACAGCGAGCGUUGUCCGGAUUUACUGGGCGUAAAGAGCGCGCAGGCGGUCGUUCAAGUCGCGUGUGAAAGCCCCCGGCUCAACCGGGGAGGGUCACGCGAUACUGAUCGACUCGAAGGCAGGAGAGGGUAGUGGAAUUCCCGGUGUAGUGGUGAAAUGCGUAGAUAUCGGGAGGAACACCAGUGGCGAAGGCGACCACCUGGCCUGUUCUUGACGCUGAGGCGCGAAAGCUAGGGGAGCAAACGGG
rnacentral:rRNA from 1 species